CAGUAGCCACGGUAAAACGUAGGUGGCAAGCGUUGUCCGGAAUUAUUGGGCGUAAAGGGCUCGCAGGCGGUUUCUUAAGUCUGAUAUGAAAGCCCCCGGCUCAACCGGGGAGGGUCAUUGGAAACUGGGAAACUUGAGUGCAGAAGAGGAGAGUGGAAUUCCACGUGUAGCGGUGAAAUGCGUAGAGAUGUGGAGGAACACCAGUGGCGAAGGCGACUCUCUGGUCUGUAACUGACGCUGAGGAGCGAAAGCGUGGGGAGCGAACAGGAUUAGAUACCCCCGUAGUCCCUGUCUCUUAUAC
rnacentral:rRNA from 1 species